UUAAUAUUUAGAUAAAUUAGUUUUAUUUUCAAUCAUAAUUACUCUUAUCCCUCCUAUUCCAACCCAAUCAACCAAACAUAAUUUUUCUUAUUCCUCUAAAUAUCUCGAUUCUCGUCUAAACACAAAAUUGAACUAAUUCCUACCUAUCACAAAAGUUACACCUAUUCCAAGAAUAAACAAAAAUUGGUUGUUCUCGAACCAAACGGUACCUAAAAUCAUAAAAAGUCAAUAAUUUUACCCUAUUUCUCCAAAUAGUUUCUCAUUCACAUCACAUAUAUUGUCCUUCUAGAAUAUAAUUAACCCUACCCGCCCAGGGCCAAUUUGAAAAUCCAAAACCUCUUCUCCAAGCAAAAAAAAAAAAAAAAAACAAUCCCACCAACCACAAUCCUUCUCAAUCUGUAAAUACUCACAAAUUCAUGAAUCAUCUCCAUUCCCGAAGAGAGAAUUUAUGUAAAGAAAAGAAAAAUACACUACAAUAAAAACGGUCUAUAGCGAUAUUUUUAAAUAUAGGUACAUAUCAAAAAAGUGCUGCUAGCUAAAAUUACCAACACUUUUAAAAAGUGUUGCUAUAUGUGGGGUCGCCAGGUAUUUAGUGACAGUUAAAAAGUGUCGCUAUAACCUAAAAGAGCGCUGCUAAUUUACCAACACUUAUUUAAGCAUUUAGCAACCGCCGAAACUCUAUCUCGUUAGCUGCGGUGGCGGAGAAGGACGACAGGAAAGGCUCUUCAUCUAGAAUUUCAGUGGAUUGAGUGAAGAGAGAAGAAAAGAUAGUAAAUAAUUUUUCUUUUUUUUUCUAUUUGUAAUCGGGCCAAAUGGACUAGGUGUGGUGAGUUGAGUAGAGUAAUCUUUUAUUUUUGGUUGGAUUGGGCUUUAUAUUUAGGUAUUAGUAGAUAUUUUUUUAAGUUUUAGGAUAAAUGGGACACUUACUCAAAAGUGUCCCAAACAUGUGUCCCUAUAAUCUAAUUCUGUUGUAGUGAUAUAGUCAAAAAAUAAAAUGGCAUCGAGAGAUAAAGAAAGUGUAAUGUUUUUUGGGUG
rnacentral:lncRNA from 1 species